AUGAACUUCAUGAUGGGUAAGAGAAAAUCUUUCUUCGCAAGUGAAGCCUUGGAUUUGCCAGAGACUAAGAAAUUAGUAAGCAACAAAAUUAUGCUUGCUUACAAUUCAAAUUACUUGUUGUUGCUUUCUGGCCCAGUUCUGAGACAGAUUAUUUGUUUCAUUGGUUCAAUCAAAUUGUUAGGCUCUGGAUUUCAUACUGCAUGCAAAUUGCAUGGCCACCAAUAUAUAAUCUUCUGGAAAUUGUGUUUUUAUAGGUCAACUUCUUUUGUUUACCUUCAAACCAAUGGCAUACGACAUGCUCCAUGA
rnacentral:rRNA from 1 species